UUCUUCUUGAAACUACUAUUAGAAGUACGCCCUGCCCAAUGAAUAUUCAAUGGCCGCGGUAUCCUAACCGUGCAAAGGUAGCAUAAUCAUUUGCCCGUUAAUUGCGGGCUAGUAUGAACGGGUAAACGAAAUAGAACCUGUCUCAAUUAAACUUACAAAAAUUAGCCUCUAGAUGAAGAGAUCUAAAUACAAUUGAAGGACAAGAAGACCCUAUAGAGCUUUACUUUAUUAAGCUAUUAAAAUAACUUAUACAGUUCGGUUGGGGCGACCUAGGAAACACAUAUCAUCCUAUAACACGAAGAUUUACAUAUCUUUAUAUAUGACCCUAUAAUAGAUCAAAGGAAUAAGCUACCUUAGGGAUAACAGGCUAAUCCUCCCACAGAGACCUUAUCAACAGGAGGGAUUGGCACCUCGAUGUUGGCUUAGGAAAUCUUUAUGAUGCAGAAGUCAUAAGAAGAAGGUUUGUUCAACCUAUAAUAUCCU
rnacentral:rRNA from 1 species